UACGUAGGGUGCGAGCGUUUGUCCGGAAUUACUGGGCGUAAAGAGCUCGUAGGUGGUUUGUCGCGUUGUUCGUGAAAACUCACAGCUCAACUGUGGGCGUGCGGGCGAUACGGGCAGACUAGAGUACUGCAGGGGAGACUGGAAUUCCUGGUGUAGCGGUGGAAUGCGCAGAUAUCAGGAGGAACACCGGUGGCGAAGGCGGGUCUCUGGGCAGUAACUGACGCUGGAGGAGCGAAAGCGUGGGGAGCGAACAGG
rnacentral:rRNA from 1 species